rnacentral:tRNA from 2 species
GCGCUCAUAGCUCAGUUGGAUAGAGUGUCAGUUUCCGAAGCUGAAGGUCGUAGGUUCGAUUCCUACUGGGCGCA